rnacentral:rRNA from 1 species
CACGUAGGGGGCAAGCGUUGUCCGGAUUUAUUGGGCGUAAAGAGCUCGUAGGCGGUUCGCUAAGUCGGGUGUGAAAACUCUGGGCUCAACUCAGAGACGCCACCCGAUACUGGCGUGACUCGAGUCCGGUAGGGGAGCAUGGAAUUCCUGGUGUAGCGGUGAAAUGCGCAGAUAUCUGGAGGAAUACCGGUGGCGAAGGCGGCAUCCUGGACCAUUACUGACGCUGAAUCGCGAAAGCUAGGGGAGCAAACGGG